UACGUAGGUGGCAAGCGUUAUCCGGAAUUAUUGGGCGUAAAGAGCGUGUAGGCGGCCAGACAGGUCCGUUGUGAAAACUAGAGGCUUAACCUCUAGACGUCGAUGGAAACCGUCUGGCUAGAGUCCGGAAGAGGAGAAUGGAAUUCCUGGUGUAGCGGUGAAAUGCGCAGAUAUCAGGAAGAACACCCGUGGCUAAGGCGGUUCUCUAGUACGGUACUGACGCUGAGACGCGAAAGCGUGGGGAGCGAACAGG
rnacentral:rRNA from 1 species